CCUACGGGAGGCAGCAGUGGGGAAUUUUGGACAAUGGGCGAAAGCCUGAUCCAGCAAUGCCGCGUGAGUGAAGAAGGCCUUCGGGUUGUAAAGCUCUUUUGUCAGGGAAGAAACGGUGUUUUCUAAUACAGAAUGCUAAUGACGGUACCUGAAGAAUAAGCACCGGCUAACUACGUGCCAGCAGCCGCGGUAAUACGUAGGGUGCAAGCGUUAAUCGGAAUUACUGGGCGUAAAGCGUGCGCAGGCGGUUUUGUAAGUCUGACGUGAAAUCCCUGGGCUCAACCUGGGAAUUGCGUUGGAGACUGCAAGGCUAGAGUUUGGCAGAGGGGGGUAGAAUUCCACGUGUAGCAGUGAAAUGCGUAGAUAUGUGGAGGAACACCGAUGGCGAAGGCAGCCCCCUGGGUCAAGACUGACGCUCAUGCACGAAAGCGUGGGGAGCAAACAGGAUUAGAUACCCUGGUAGUCCACGCCCUAAACGAUGUCUACUAGUUGUCGGGUCUUAAUUGACUUGGUAACGCAGCUAACGCGUGAAGUAGACCGCCUGGGGAGUACGGUCGCAAGAUUAAAACUCAAAUGAAAUUGACCGGNNGAGAGNGCGAGACGACGACGAGGGAGGAGG
rnacentral:rRNA from 1 species